rnacentral:rRNA from 1 species
GAGUGCUUGCACUCAAUUGGAAAGAGGAGUGGCGGACGGGUGAGUAACACGUGGGUAACCUACCCAUCAGAGGGGGAUAACACUUGGAAACAGGUGCUAAUACCGCAUAACAGUUUAUGCCGCAUGGCAUAAGAGUAAAAGGCGCUUUCGGGUGUCGCUGAUGGAUGGACCCGCGGUGCAUUAGCUAGUUGGUGAGGUAACGGCUCACCAAGGCCACGAUGCAUAGCCGACCUGAGAGGGUGAUCGGCCACACUGGGACUGAGACACGGCCCAGACUCCUACGGGAGGCAGCAGUAGGGAAUCUUCGGCAAUGGACGAAAGUCUGACCGAGCAACGCCGCGUGAGUGAAGAAGGUUUUCGGAUCGUAAAACUCUGUUGUUAGAGAAGAACAAGGACGUUAGUAACUGAACGUCCCCUGACGGUAUCUAACCAGAAAGUCACGGCUAACUACGUGCCAGCAGCCGCGGUAAUACGUAGGUGGCAAGCGUUGUCCGGAUUUAUUGGGCGCAAAGCGAGCGCAGGCGGUUUCUUAAGUCUGAUGUGAAAGCCCCCGGCUCAACCGGGGAGGGUCAUUGGAAACUGGGAGACUUGAGUGCAGAAGAGGAGAGUGGAAUUCCAUGUGUAGCGGUGAAAUGCGUAGAUAUAUGGAGGAACACCAGUGGCGAAGGCG